UCUUUAUUCCACUCACGGUUGCUGUCACACAUAUAACGCUGCAGCUCCGUAGUCACAUGUACACAACAACAACACAACAGGACCCAGUUCCCAUUUUAUGCAACGAGGCAUGUUUAUUGAUGCUGCUCAGGUGCAUCUGCUUCACCUGCAGCAGCACCACAGAACGCGCCCCACCACAGUUGCUGUCAUCAAAUAGGAAGUGAACAGAUAUAUCAGAGAGACGAGUUUGUGUGUUUGUCAGCUGUUUGUGUGGAGUUGUUCUUUAUGUUCACCUCAAAUCAACCUGAGUGUCAUUUCUCUUUAGUUCUGAUCUCACUGCUGAGCUGCACAACAAACCAAGGUCAGCAAACACUCACCUGUUUCUGCAGAUUUCAACAUUCCCAAUGUGACGAUUACUUAAUGACUGUGUUUGGGUUUUUGGGGGUUUUUUUUAGAGAGGUACACCACCAGACCUCCACCUGCAUCCACCUCUCCACCUGCAUCUACACCUCCUCCUGGUUCCAGCUCCCACACUCUUUCUGCCUUUCUCUCUCCUGUCAUUCUUUCUGUGUUGUCAUUUUUUUGUUCGGUCUGUGUUGGGGUUCUACUGGUGUUACUGGUUCUGCUGCUGAGACGAUGUGUUCACAGGAAACCUGAAGAACGAGAAGAAGCUGGAGAAGAUGACAUUAUAUAUGACAAUGAAAUAACAUACAGCACUGUUAAAAUAUCAAAUGAUCAAAAAGAUCCAAUCAGGUGAUGCAGAGAGCCAGAUGUCGUCUACUCUUCACUGAAGUAGUCCACCAGUCCAACCACUGUCAUCCAGC